rnacentral:rRNA from 1 species
UACGUAGGCAGCAAGCGUUGUUCGGAAUUACUGGGCGUAAAGAGUGUGUAGGCGGUGCUCUAAGUUUGGUGUGAAAUCUCCCGGCUUAACCGGGAGGCUGCAUCGAAUACUGGAAUGCUAGAGGGUGGGAGAGGUAAGCGGAAUUCCUGGUGUAGCGGUGAAAUGCGUAGAUAUCAGGAAGAACACCCGUGGCGAAAGCGGCUCUCUGGAACGGUACUGACGCUGAGGUGCGAAAGCGUGGGGAGCGAACAGG